rnacentral:misc_RNA from 1 species
GAUGAAGAACGCAGCGAAAUGCGAUACUUGGUGUGAAUUGCAGAAUCCCGUGAACCAUCGAGUCUUUGAACGCAAGUUGCGCCCGAAGCCAUUAGGCCGAGGGCACGCCUGCCUGGGCGUCACACGUCGUUGCCCCCCCAUCUACUCCUUCGGGAUUGCGGGGGGCGGAUGGUGGCCUCCCGUGCGCCUCGUCGCGCGGUUGGCAUAAAUGCCAAGUCCUCGGCGACGCACGCCACGACAAUCGGUGGUUGCGAAACCUCGGUUGCCCGUCGUGUGCGGUCGUCGCGCAUCGAGGGCUCGAAAAAAUUGCCGGGCUCCGGCUCGGCUUUCAACGCGACCCCAGGUCAGGCGGGGUUACCCGCUGAAUUUAAGCAUAUCAAUAAGCGGAGGA